rnacentral:rRNA from 1 species
UGUGAACUCGAAGAGUAGGGCGGGACACGUGGUAUCCUGUCUGAAUAUGGGGGGACCAUCCUCCAAGGCUAAAUACUCCUGACUGACCGAUAGUGAACCAGUACCGUGAGGGAAAGGCGAAAAGAACCCCGGCGAGGGGAGUGAAAAAGAACCUGAAACCGUGUACGUACAAGCAGUGGGAGCCUCUUUAUGGGGUGACUGCGUACCUUUUGUAUAAUGGGUCAGCGACUUAUAUUCUGUAGCAAGGUUAACCGUAUAGGGGAGCCGAAGGGAAACCGAGUCUUAACUGGGCGUUAAGUUGCAGGGUAUAGACCCGAAACCCGGUGAUCUAGCCAUGGGCAGGUUGAAGGUUGGGUAACACUAACUGGAGGACCGAACCGACUAAUGUUGAAAAAUUAGCGGAUGACUUGUGGCUGGGGGUGAAAGGCCAAUCAAACCGGGAGAUAGCUGGUUCUCCCCGAAAGCUAUUUAGGUAGCGCCUCGUGAACUCAUCUUCGGGGGUAGAGCACUGUUUCGGCUAGGGGGCCAUCCCGGCUUACCAACCCGAUGCAAACUACGAAUACCGAAGAAUGUUAUCACGGGAGACACACGGCGGGUGCUAACGUCCGUCGUGAAGAGGGAAACAACCCAGACCGCCAGCUAAGGUCCCAAAGUCAUGGUUAAGUGGGAAACGAUGUGGGAAGGCACAGACAGCCAGGAUGUUGGCUUAGAAGCAGCCAUCAUUUAAAGAAAGCGUAAUAGCUCACUGGUCGAGUCGGCCUGCGCGGAAGAUGUAACGGGGCUAAACCAUGCACCGAAGCUGCGGCAGCGACACUAUGUGUUGUUGGGUAGGGGAGCGUUCUGUAAGCCGUUGAAGGUGUCCUGUGAGGGAUGCUGGAGGUAUCAGAAGUGCGAAUGCUGACAUAAGUAACGAUAAAGCGGGUGAAAAGCCCGCUCGCCGGAAGACCAAGGGUUCCUGUCCAACGUUAAUCGGGGCAGGGUGAGUCGACCCCUAAGGCGAGGCCGAAAGGCGUAGUCGAUGGGAAACAGGUUAAUAUUCCUGUACUUGGUGUUACUGCGAAGGGGGGACGGAGAAGGCUAUGUUAGCCGGGCGACGGUUGUCCCGGUUUAAGCAUGUAGGCGGAGGUUCCAGGUAAAUCCGGUUCCUUGUUAACGCUGAGGUGUGAUGACGAGGCACUACGGUGCUGAAGUAACAAAUGCCCUGCUUCCAGGAAAAGCCUCUAAGCAUCAGGUAACAUCAAAUCGUACCCCAAACCGACACAGGUGGUCAGGUAGAGAAUACCAAGGCGCUUGAGAGAACUCGGGUGAAGGAACUAGGCAAAAUGGUGCCGUAACUUCGGGAGAAGGCACGCUGAUAUGUAGGUGAAGCCCCUGCGGGUGGAGCUGAAAUCAGUCGAAGAUACCAGCUGGCUGCAACUGUUUAUUAAAAACACAGCACUGUGCAAACACGAAAGUGGACGUAUACGGUGUGACGCCUGCCCGGUGCCGGAAGGUUAAUUGAUGGGGUUAGCGG